rnacentral:rRNA from 2 species
ACUACGGUGCUGAAGCAACAAAUGCCCUGCUUCCAGGAAAAGCCUCUAAGCAUCAGGUAACAUCAAAUCGUACCCCAAACCGACACAGGUGGUCAGGUAGAGAAUACCAAGGCGCUUGAGAGAACUCGGGUGAAGGAACUAGGCAAAAUGGUGCCGUAACUUCGGGAGAAGGCACGCUGACACGUAGGUGAAGUGAUUUACUCACGGAGCUGAAGUCAGUCGAAGAUACCAGCUGGCUGCAACUGUUUAUUAAAAACACAGCACUGUGCAAACACGAAAGUGGACGUAUACGGUGUGACGCCUGCCCGGUGCCGGAAGGUUAAUUGAUGGGGUCAGCGCAAGCGAAGCUCCUGAUCGAAGCCCCGGUAAACGGCGGCCGUAACUAUAACGGUCCUAAGGUAGCGAAAUUCCUUGUCGGGUAAGUUCCGACCUGCACGAAUGGCGUAAUGAUGGCCAGGCUGUCUCCACCCGAGACUCAGUGAAAUUGAACUCGCUGUGAAGAUGCAGUGUACCCGCGGCAAGACGGAAAGACCCCGUGAACCUUUACUAUAGCUUGACACUGAACAUUGAGCCUUGAUGUGUAGGAUAGGUGGGAGGCUUUGAAGUGUGGACGCCAGUCUGCAUGGAGCCGACCUUGAAAUACCACCCUUUAAUGUUUGAUGUUCUAACGUGGACCCGUAAUCCGGGUUGCGGACAGUGUCUGGUGGGUAGUUUGACUGGGGCGGUCUCCUCCUAAAGAGUAACGGAGGAGCACGAAGGUUGGCUAAUCCUGGUCGGACAUCAGGAGGUUAGUGCAAUGGCAUAAGCCAGCUUGACUGCGAGCGUGACGGCGCGAGCAGGUGCGAAAGCAGGUCAUAGUGAUCCGGUGGUUCUGAAUGGAAGGGCCAUCGCUCAACGGAUAAAAGGUACUCCGGGGAUAACAGGCUGAUACCGCCCAAGAGUUCAUAUCGACGGCGGUGUUUGGCACCUCGAUGUCGGCUCAUCACAUCCUGGGGCUGAAGUAGGUCCCAAGGGUAUGGCUGUUCGCCAUUUAAAGUGGUACGCGAGCUGGGUUUAGAACGUCGUGAGACAGUUCGGUCCCUAUCUGCCGUGGGCGCUGGAGAACUGAGGGGGGCUGCUCCUAGUACGAGAGGACCGGAGUGGACGCAUCACUGGUGUUCGGGUUGUCAUGCCAAUGGCACUGCCCGGUAGCUAAAUGCGGAAGAGAUAAGUGCUGAAAGCAUCUAAGCACGAAACUUGCCCCGAGAUGAGUUCUCCCUGAGACUUUAGGUCUCCUGAAGGAACGUUGAAGACGACGACGUUGAUAGGCCGGGUGUGUAAGCGCAGCGAUGCGUUGAGCUAACCGGUACUAAUGAACCGUGAGGCUUAACCUU